rnacentral:rRNA from 1 species
AUUGAACGCUGGCGGCAGGCCUUACACAUGCAAGUCGAACGAGUGGCGGACGGGUGAGUAAUGUCUGGGAAACUGCCUGAUGGAGGGGGAUAAAUACUGGAAACGGUAGCUAAUACCGCAUACCAUCAGAUGUGCCCAGUUGGGAUUAGCUAGUAGGUGGGGUAACGCCUCACCUAGGCGACGAUCCCUAGCUGGUCUGAGAGGAUGACCAGCCACACUGGAACGGAGACACGGUCCAGACUCCUACGGGAGGCAGCAGUGGGGAAUAUUGCACAAUGGGCGCAAGCCUGAUGCAGCCAUGCCGCGUGUAUGAAGAAGGCCUUCGGGUUGUAAAGUACUUUCAGCGGGGAGGCGUUACCCGCAUAAGAAGCACCGGCUAACUCCGUGCCAGCAGCCGCGGUAAUUC